UACGUAGGGUGCGAGCGUUGUCCGGAAUUAUUGGGCGUAAAGGGCUCGUAGGCGGUUUGUCGCGUCGGGAGUGAAAUCCACUGGCUUAACUGGUGGCUUGCUUUCGAUACGGGCAGACUGGAGGUAUGCAGGGGAGAACGGAAUUCCUGGUGUAGCGGUGAAAUGCGCAGAUAUCAGGAGGAACACCGGUGGCGAAGGCGGUUCUCUGGGCAUGUCCUGACGCUGAGGAGCGAAGGCGUGGGGAGCGAACAGG
rnacentral:rRNA from 1 species